AAUAGAUACCCGGGUAGUCCACGCCGUAAACGAUGAGUGCUAAGUGUUAGAGGGUUUCCGCCCUUUAGUGCUGCAGCUAACGCAUUAAGCACUCCGCCUGGGGAGUACGGUCGCAAGACUGAAACUCAAAGGAAUUGACGGGGGCCCGCACAAGCGGUGGAGCAUGUGGUCUAAUUCGAAGCAACGCGAAGAACCUUACCAGGUCUUGACAUCCUCUGACAACUCUAGAGAUAGAGCGUUCCCCUUCGGGGGACAGAGUGACAGGUGGUGCAUGGUUGUCGUCAGCUCGUGUCGUGAGAUGUUGGGUUAAGUCCCGCAACGAGCGCAACCCUUGAUCUUAGUUGCCAGCAUUUAGUUGGGCACUCUAAGGUGACUGCCGGUGACAAACCGGAGGAAGGUGGGGAUGACGUCAAAUCAUCAUGCCCCUUAUGACCCGGGCUACACACGUGCUACAAUGGAUGGUACAAAGAGCUGCGAACCCGCGAGGGUAAGCGAAUCUCAUAAAGCCAUUCUCAGUUCGGAUUGU
rnacentral:rRNA from 1 species